ACAAAAGAAGGAAAAUUAAGAAAAUAAAAAAAAUCAUUCUAAUCAUUUUGUUUCAUCAGAACCACUAUUAACCCAUUUUUACACUCCAUCCUCAUUAACAUUUCUUCCCAUUUUGGUAAAAAAUUCAUCAUUGAUAGCCCAUGCAUACUUCUUGUCUUUGGAAGAAAAAAUCAUCAUUUGGCCCAACUUAACACUCCUAGUCAAGACAUCACUCGGCUCUCUCUGGGGGAAAAGGAGGAAAAAAAAACACACACAAAAAAGGCUCUACUGUUGGCUACAAAAAUCUCCUCUCUCGGCUCUCUCCCACAGGACAGAAGACAAGCCAUAACAAGAAAAAAAAAAGAAAAACUCCUCUCUCCAUUCGGCUCCCUCUCUUUUCCUAAUAUACACACACAGAAUCAAGCACAAGAAAGCAAGCAAUCGGACGCGAGGAGAUUGGAAUUUCAUCAACAAUUUUAACUAAGGUCAUAAGAGGUGUUUAUGGUUGAGAUCGAGGAAAAAGUGCAAUUCAACUUGCAAAUUUGGAGAUUAGUCACGAAUAAAAAUGGAGCAAUAAUGCUACAUUGCAAAGUGGAGGAUCGGCUAUUUGCUCAAAAGGAGUACAUACUUUAGCAGCCAACUUGAAAAAAAAAAGAGAAAAGAAAAGAAAAAGGGGGAAUGAAAAGCGAAAAAAAAAGAGAAAGAAUAAAGGAAAAAAAAAAGUAAAGACAAAAGACAAAAGAAAAGAAAGGGGGAAUGAAAGAAAAAAAAAGAAGAGAAUAAUAAAAAAGGAGGAAAAAAUGGAAAAAC